GCAAGAAUGAGGCGAGGGUCACCACUUUGUGAACAACAGCGAAUCCACAGUGGGAUCCAAAGGAGUGGUGCUGGCGAUUCAUCAUCGUCUGGGUCGACUCCUUCUGUCUCCAACACUGCACAAGAUUGACGGCCUGAAAAGUUGCUGGACCACCAAGCACUCAUGCUUGAAGCUCCAUGAAGAUUUAUCAGGAGAUAAGUGAGAACAUCAAUUUCUGGGACGGGUCAGCUGGAUCUUCUUUGUUGUGCUCAAGCACAAAGGGAAGCUGCAACGAAUGCUUGGACAUCUUUUCCAGUUUACGGUGAUCACUCAUGCAAGAAGUGAUCAGCUUUCCAAUAUUUCAGCUAACGAGGAAUCCAAUCCACAUCGCAUCCACUCCUCUCUGGCCGGACAACGAGUGGAUCAAAGUACAAAUCUCACAGUAUGUCCAACCCUAGUAACACAGAGGAAACAGAUAUCCAUGACUUCUCACACAGCUCUGGUGGAGGGGACAGCACAGAUAAAGGACAGAGGAGAUGGGGGAAGGGUCUGUGGGAGAAUGCUGAGGGUGAGAGGACCAGCUGGCCACGGGUUUAUUGAUCAGUGCUCACUCUGUGGGGAGGGGUGAUCAGCAACACCUGAUCUCCAUAAUAGUUGAAUCAUCUCAGUGAGAUUGCUGGUUAAUUGUUUUUAAAUACACGCUGGCCACAGCAUUAGAUGCAGUUCUCAAACUACAAGCACAGCUGUACAUGGUGUUUACCGUUCAUUACCUCAUCAUACCGAUAAAUGCUGAAAACUACCUACAUUUAAAACCCUGGCCUCAGAUCCACGAAACUGUGAAUGUGCUAACCAUCAGCAUGGGGUAGUAUUUUAUUUUAUUUCUGGAGUAGUAUUGAGAGUUGAGUAACAAACAACAACAACAACAACAAAUCAUGUUUGGUCUAAGGUACCUUAGAUUUUUUUUAAAAAUUCAAGAUUUUUGCAUAUAGUUUUUAAACCUAAUUAGUACCUCUGUACAUUUAAAUAUUUUUUCUCAUAUUCACUUGGCAUGGUAUUGUAUAUUUUAUUUAAUACUUUUUGUGAAUGUGUUACUUUUUCUUUUUUUUAUAUAAAUCUAAACGAUCUUUUAUUGAACAUUUGUUUGUUGGACUU